AUUGAACGCUGGCGGCAGGCCUAACACAUGCAAGUAGCGCGAGCGGCGGACGGGUGAGUAAUGUAUGGGGCCUGCCCGAUAGAGGGGGAUAAAUACUGGAAACGGUAACUAAUACCGCAUCCUAUCGGCUAACCCCUAUGGGCUUAGAUAGUAGGUGAGGUAAUGGCUCACCUAGGCGACGAUCCCUAGCUGGUCGGAGAGGAUGAUCAGCCACACGGGGACUAAGACACGGUCCAGACUCCUACGGAGGCAGCAGUGGGGAAUAUUGCACAAUGGUCGCAAGCCUGAUGCAGCCAUGCCGCGUGUAUGAAGAAGGCCCUAGGGUGGUAAAGUACUUUCAGUCGGGAGGCGUUACCGACAGAAGAAGCACCGGCUAACUCCGUGCCAGCAGCCGCGGUAAUUC
rnacentral:rRNA from 1 species